UACAGAGGGUGCAAGCGUUGCUCGGAAUUAUUGGGCGUAAAGGGUAGGUAGGUGGUCUCAUUUGUCCGGGGUGAAAGCCUUGAGCUUAACUCAAGAAGUGCCCCGGAAACGGUGAGACUGGAGUCUUGGAGAGGGUCGUGGAAUUCCCGGUGUAGCGGUGAAAUGCGUAGAUAUCAGGAAGAACACCCGUGGCUAAGGCGGUGCUCUAGUACGGUACUGACGCUGAGACGCGAAAGCGUGGGGAGCGAACAGG
rnacentral:rRNA from 1 species